rnacentral:rRNA from 1 species
GCAUAACGCGAAGAACCUUACCAGGGCUUGACAUCCCUCUGAAAUCUCUAGAGAUAGAGGCUCCCUUCGGGGCAGAGGUGACAGGUGGUGCAUGGUUGUCGUCAGCUCGUGUCGUGAGAUGUUGGGUUAAGUCCCGCAACGAGCGCAACCCUUGUCCUUAGUUGCCAGCAUUUAGUUGGGCACUCUAAGGAGGCUGCCGUCGACAAGACGGAGGAAGGUGGGGACGACGUCAAAUCAUCAUGCCCCUUAUGUCCUGGGCUACACACGUGCUACAAUGGAUGGUACAACGGGCUGCGAACUCGCGAGAGUAAGCCAAUCCCAAAAAACCAUUCUCAGUUCGGAUUGUAGGCUGCAACUCGCCUACAUGAAGUCGGAAUCGCUAGUAAUCGCGGAUCAGCAUGCCGCGGUGAAUACGUUCCCCGGGGUCUUGUACACACCG